UUUUUUUUUUUUUUUUUAAGGAUUGUCUCCAUAGUCUUCGAACUUACCCCUCAUUGAUAAGACCUCUAGGUGAACACAGUGUUUGAAUGCAGUCCUGAUCAAUGGUGUGUGGUGAAGAGGUGCCUUCUCCUUUUUCUAUACUACCUUCCUCAAGAAACACAUUGCUUUUCUGAUCUCUUCUUCUUCUUGGGGUCUUCUGUGGCUUAUAAACUGAGAGUAGUGCCUGAAGUGAGUUCUAAGUGCAUUUAGGUAUGAAUUAAUUUCAAAUAUACUCCAGAAGCAUUAAGACAAAAUCUCCAUAGUUGGUUGGUCAGUACCUCCUUGACUAUCUGAUCUCUGUGGUCCAUGUUUUCCUUGUGUACAGGCCAAUUUUUACAUCAGAUUUUUUUUUUUCAGCACCUGAGAUGUAUGGAAGUUCCCUGGCCAGGGAUCAAACCCACACCUCUAUGGUAACCCGAACUCCUGCAGUCAGAUCUUUAACCCACUGCACCACAGUGGGAACUCCUAAAUAAGAUUUUUAAAUGCAAGUUUUCUGCCUUUGGCCUCCAACACAUUUCUGAUUUUCUUUUAGUGGGUAUGUGCUCAGACACAGAAACUCAUUUUAUUACAGAAAUGUACACAGCUUCAUGUAGGGUGGGAUCUCAUUACAAAGGAGCUCCUGGAGGAUAUCAAGGAUGGGGCAGUAAUGCUGGAAUUUGAGUGUGGUAUUGCCUGGUACUUCUGUGGUCUUUUCGGGGAGUUGAGGCUGUACCUGUGGCAUGUGGAAGUUCCAGGACCGGAAUCCAACCUGCACCACAGCAGUGAUCCUGGCCACUGCAGUGAAAACUGCUGGAUCCUUAACCCACUGGGCCUGGAACCUUCAAAGUCUUAAUGGGCCUCUCCAAGGAGUUUUUCACAAGCAGAGAUUCAAACUGGUUUCUUUAAAAAAAAAAAAAUAAUAACAUUUUUUAAAAAAAUUGAAGUAUAGCUGAUUUACAAUGUUGUGUUAGUUUCAGGUAUAUAGCAAAGUGUUUCAGUUACAUAUAUAUGUGUGUAUACAUAUGUAUAUACACAUACAUAUUCUUUUUCAGAUUAUUUUCCUCUUAAGGAUAUUAUAAAAUAUUGAAUAUAAUUCCCUGUGCUAUAUAGUAGUUCCUUGUUGGAUAUCUAUUUUAUAUAUAGUAGUGUAGAGUAUAUUAAUCUCGAACUCAACCUCCUAUUCCUAACUUACCCUUCUGGUAACUGUAAGUUUGUUUUCUAUGUCUGAGGGUGUAUUACUGUUUUGUACAUAAGUUCAUUUGUAUCAUUAUGCUUUUAGAUUAUAUGUAUAAGUGAUGUCAUAUGAUGUUUCUCUUUUUCUGUCUGGUUUAGUUCUCUUCGUAUGAUAACCUCUAUGUCCAUCCAUGUUACUGCAAAUGGCAUUAUUUCAUUCUUUUUUAUGGCUGAGUAGUAUUCCAUUGUACAUAUGUAGUAUUCCUCCUCCAUUCAUCUGUCCAUGGACAUUUAGGUUGCUUCCAUGUCUUGGUUAUUGUAAAUAGUGCUGCAAUGAGAUUUCAGGUUUGUCUGGAGCUCUCCUUCCUGGACACAGGUCUUUUCUUCUUCUAAUUACAAGUUGCUUUUUUAUAGCUCUGCCUUCUACAGAGGUGCCUUGCUACUACAUACUGUUAAAGACAAUGGUAAAAAGCAAGUAAUGCCGGGCUUGCCAUUAGUGGGCUGCAGCAAUAGUCACUAAUCCAUAUGAUGCUUACCCAGCUUAGCGUAAUGUACAGAGGGAAAGGGAGAGGGGUAUCUCAGCAACAUCCACAACCCUAAGGUCCUCUCCCAUUGCUAUUGCUGCUGGCCUUUCAGAUGUCCCUUAGUAUGGAUUGCCACUACAAUAUAAACAGAUAUAACUGUUAUUUCCCUUUUCAAAUGGCAUUAAUUUAGACUUUAUUAGGUCUCACUAUUUUAAAAAAUAUGAGCUUGUUACAAUUUUAUACACAAUGAAAUUUGUUGUUGUUGUUGUUUGUUUUUUGCGUUUUUGUCUUUUCCAGGGCUGCACUCGCAGCAUAUGGAGGUUCCCAGGCUAGGGGUCUAAUUGGAGCUGUAGCUGUCAGACUACGCCACAGCCACAGAAACGAGGGAUCCGAGCCGCGUCUGCGACCUACAUCACAGCUCACGGCGAUGCCGGAUCCUUAACCCACCCAGCGAGGCCAGGGAUCGAACCGGCAACCUCAUGGUUCCUAGUCGGAUUCGUUCACCACUGAGCCACGAUGGGAACUCCCACAAUGAAAUUUUAAUUCUUGUGUUGCCCCUUUGAAUGACAAUGUGUCCUGAUGAUAUAAUUUUGUUUGACCCCAAAUCUAAAGAAAUCUGUGCCUUAUUGUGUAAAUAUUCUGAAUUCUCCAUAUACCAUUUCUGUAGAAGUGUCUGAUUCAAAAGACAUGGAAAAGAGUAUAGUAAUUCUCUUCCUAAAUCCUUAUACUUUUUUUUCCCUGGGAAGUUAGUGAAGCUUUUCCUACAUUUUGUAUAUGGUUGAGCAGUUACUACUUAGAAGUUUUGCUUUUGUUCAAUAUUUACAGCUCAUCCUAACAUAUGCCAAUACUGACUUUCUUUUAUGCAACUUCAGGGCUGUGUGCCCAGAUCUGGAGUGGUGCUUGUUAUCAAAAAUAUACCCCUUAGGAAUAUCUGAUAUAUGGUUUCUUUGUAAAUAAUAUCAGCCCCUUUAAAACCAGACUCUCUUCUAUUGGCUAGAUAAAAUAUACAUUAGAAAAUGCUUAUGCAUUCUUUAUGUAGCAACAAUGAGCUAGUUGCUUACAGUUCCUAAUCUCCCCAGAAUAUGUGCAAGGAUAUGAGAUGGAUAAACAUAUAGACACAGCAACACGUCAUAAAACCCCCAUGAACCACGAUUUAGUAUAUUACCAGUUAUAUGUCACUAUUUCUUAUUGCUAUACUUUUUUUCUGUACCUCAUGGCUUUCUUAUACCUUCAUGCCUUAUCAGAGAGUCUGGUCAAUUAGAUUAGAUUAAAAAAGCUAUUGAGGGGUUCCCGUUGUGGCUCAGUGGUAAUGAACCCGACAAGGAUCCAUGAGGACAUAGGUUCGAUCCCUAGCCUCGCUCAGGAUCUGGGGAAGCUGUGAGCUGUUGUGUAGGUCAGAUCUGGCGUUGCUGUGGCUCUGGCAUAGGCCAGCAGCUGUAGCUCCAAUUGGACCCCUAGCCCGGGAACCUCCAUAUGCUUGAAAUCUGGAGAAUUGUGUAAAUAGAACAAAAUAUUUUUACCCUGUUGAUAAAAAAAGUUGGGGCUGGAUCUUGGGAAAUAGGAGUUAACUGGGCUCUAGCUUCUGGUAAGUGCAGAUAGCUGUGGAUGGGCAGGAGAUGGGAGCAUACGAGUGAUAUGGUGUCGACUGAAAGAAAAAAAAAAAAACAAAACCCCAGGACCUAAAAAUUGAGAAUUAUAUUUUAUUUAGUGAAUUUUCUGAGGCCUUAACUCCAGAAGGCAGCCUCUGAGAAAGCUCUGAGGGACCACUCCAAAGAGGUAAGGGAGGACCCAGGGUAUGUGGGAGUUUUGCAACAAAAAUCAGGUAGCAAAAGUACUAAAUUACCAUUAAUUAAAGAAAAUCAGACACCUCAAGUUAAUGAAUUUACUGCUUUUCUAUAUAUGGGAAGAUGCAGGGGUCUGGGCUCGCUAAAAUCAUUCCUUUGAUAGAACUUUAACUGUCUAGGGUCUGCUUUUCCCCAUCCUGAAUCCCCUCAGGGUGCACCCAUGGGGGCAGCUGCAGUGGCUGCUGGCUUGAGGGUCGAAAUAUCCCUUAUUGACUGAUAUGACAGGCAAGAUUUUUCAUCCACAUUGGCUUCUAACACUGCCAAUUGAAUCCUGGGGGGCUGCAGCCCCUGGUUUGUGAGCCCUUCCCAUGCAAAGCUGAACAUAUUUUUAUCCCUCCUAGAGCACUUGGUACACCUUAUAUCCCAAGGUUCAUAAAGCCAACAACCCAGUGGGCACAAUUUGUAUCAGAAACAACAUUAAUGAUGGAGGAUAAUGUGAGAAAAAGAAUGUAGGUAUGUGGGACUGGGUCACUUGGCUGUACUGGAGAAAACUGACGGAACACUGUAAACCAACUAUAAAGGAAAAAAUAUGUCAUUAAAAAAAAAAAGAAACAACAUUAGAAAUGAAUAAAAAGGGACGCUGAGAUUGUGAGGCAUCAGUACACCCGUGAGUGUUAGCGCGCAUCAUUCACCUGGAUGUUGAGGGUAUUGGUUUGUGUUUUUCUAUGGGGAGCUACAGGGGUCAAGCCUCACGCAUCAGAGUCAAGAGCGGAUCUCAUAUGAAAGAGAAGGUUAUUCUUUCUGUCCAUCACCAGGGGGAGAUGGAUCCUAAGAUAGGAAGGAGAAAGUGAGAACAGGUGAGUGAGGGAAGUCAGACUUUGGGGGACUUGGGAAUCCAUAACUGAGUUCCCCCUAUGAGGAAAUCCUUGACCUUUAAUAACUAUGGCUCCUUGGAUCCUGGAGUAAACAGAGACUGCGAUUUUCCUGGGCUGAAAACUCUCAGAAGAUUUUGUUGACUUGAUUAUACUUGUGUGCAUUCUAGGAACAGGCCAUGGGUGGGUCAAAAAUCCUUCUAAAGGAUUCCUCUUCUUUCUCUCAUGCACACUUGGGCCAAAACAAAAAAACAAAACAGACAAACAAAAAGCAAAAAAAAAAAAAAACCAAAAAACAAAACCCUUCACUCUGUUCAGUACUUUCCAAUUUUCUCUCAAUUCCUCACUCACCCAGUUACCAUUCUAGCACACAUCCCAUAAUAAGCAGCACGUGUGUUAUCAGCAGAGAUAACAGUGUGAUACUGGCCAUCAAUUUGGCCUCUGAGAUUUUUCUUAUCUUUUUUUCUUGUGCGCUUUCAGAAUCUUAUUACAGAGAACACAUGUCCUUGACCAUUGGAAAUAUUUCCAGAUAAAUCUGCACCUGAGUAUCUUUGUACUUAAGAUGUCUCCUGGGUUCUGCCUCGUGUCCCACAUCAGUAAAUCAGAUGGUGAUCAAAAUCCCAUUUAUCUUACACGCUGACUAGGCAAAAUGCAAAGGCAAAGGUUCUAAGGGAAGAGAGAAUGCAGCUUAUUUAUCACUGUUCCGAAGGUACAGUGGGGACAGCAG
rnacentral:lncRNA from 1 species